rnacentral:rRNA from 1 species
UACGUAGGGUGCAAGCGUUAAUCGGAAUUACUGGUCGUAAAGCGUGCGCAGGCGGCUUUGCAAGACAGAUGUGAAAUCCCCGGGCUUAACCUGGGAACUGCAUUUGUGACUGCAUGGCUGGAGUGCGGCAGAGGGGGAUGGAAUUCCGCGUGUAGCAGUGAAAUGCGUAGAGAUGCGGAGGAACACCGAUGGCGAAGGCAGCCCCCUGGGCUGACACUGACGCUCAGGCACGAAAGCGUGGGGAGCAAACAGG